rnacentral:tRNA from 1 species
GGCGGGAUAGCUCAGUUGGUUAGAGCGCAGGAUUCAUAACCCUGAGGUCAACGGUUCGAUUCCGUUUUCCGCUA